rnacentral:rRNA from 1 species
UCCUGAUGGCUCACAUGAAGUUUCGUGCCGUUCCGACCUCGUUUGAUACGGUUAUGGUUAACCACACGGCCCCUCGGGCCCGACCCGAGCCCAGUCAACGUUUUGACCCGAUCAAAUCGGCCCGUGACCCGAAACGACCCUACUUGGGCCCUACAACAGCCACGUAAAGUUUCGGGAUGAUCCGACGUUCUUUCAUGGGGUUACGGACAAUCCACGCCAAACAAGCGUCACGGGCCGACCGAGCCGGGCCAACGGGCCCUCGGGACCCGAAAACUGAAUUUUUUUUCAUCCAAACCCAUUAAAACACGUUACCGAGGUCUCACGCAAAAUUUCAUGCCAAUCCGACGUCGUUUGAUGGGGUUUUGAGAUAUUAUGAUUCCUCAAAAAUUUAAUGUAUGUUCCUGUCACUUAGCUUUUUGUGCAAAAUGUAUAUAUAGGGGAGGGGUGGGUGUUGAGCAGCCCAUGCCCGGGCAAGGCAUGCCAGCGCCCAAGCCAAAGGAGGCUGGUGGCGUGCGUAUAACAGCUCAAAUGCCCCAACGAUGACCGAGAACAAGCGCCCAUCUCCCCUCCUUCCCCCCCACCAAGCGCCCCUCCCCCCCCAUGUUGCCUGCCCACUCGCACAGCUACUCGUGAUUUCAUGCCCAGCGACUAGUGAAUGUGCCUCGACGACCAGCAAACCUCGAAAAUUAUGAUUCCUCGUAAAAUUAAUGUCUGUUCCUGUCACUUUACUUUUUGUGCAAAAUGUAUAUAUAGGGGAGACCAGGGGCUUGAGCAACCCCUGUGCCCAAGCAAGGGUCAGAUGGAAGCACACGAGACGCGAGGUUUAAAGCCUAUACAAGCAAGGCGUCUGUCUCCCCAAGCCCCAUUGCCUAUAAAACAAGCCCGAUGCCUUGUAAAUGCCCCACACGAUGCCUAUAAACGACAACGAUGUUUGCUAGUUAAUCGAUCGACGCCCCACACCUUGCAGCAUGUUGCCUAGUAAACAAGCCAUGCUGCCUUGGAAGCGCCCCACAUCAUGGCAUGUUGCCUAGCACGCUGCCCUUGUUUCCAGCACGGCGACCUGAAAGCGUGGCCUGACGACGUGCUUGCCUUCGAAAAUUAUGAUUCCUCAAAAAAUUAAUGUCUGUUCCUGUCACUUUACUUUUUGU